AUUUAUUACAUUCACCAAACAAGCUUGGAAUCAUUCAAUGUUUUAGAGAGACUUAAAAGUUGAGUGUCCCAGUUUCAUCUAUUAAGUCAUAAGCCCAUAACAGAACCCCAAGACAAGCCUCUCCCGUCACCCUCUUCAUUCUUUGUCUGUGUAAGUUCUUCACUCUAAAGUUGAUGUAGGCUAGGAAUCGCGGUGAUCUCGGCGACGGUGAUCUGGACAAUGCACUCAGAUUCUCAGCCUCUCCUCCCUCAUAGUGUUCGUGAUUAAGGUGCUUGCUCUCUAACUCCAUCAACUCGCGAUUCAAGUCUCUGCUUCAGCUUUCAGAGUUGUGUGGGCCCCAUGGACUAGGUAGUAGACACAUAUUUUAUAAUGACGAUCCUCAGCACAUGCUAUCUCAUGUUACUCUCAACGAUCAACUUCCAAAGGGGGUCUUCUCAUUGCUGAAGUUGUCGCUGUUUCUAACACUGCUCGAGUGUGUCAUAGAACACCAGGGACAUGGACGAACAAGCAAGUCGAAUCAUGGAAAGCAAUUGUGGAUACUGUUCAUGACAAAGGUGGUAUCUUCUUUUGUCAGAUUUGGCACGGUGGAAGGAUUUCAAGUUCAGGUACUUUCUCAGCUUCACUGUUACAAAAUACUCUUUUCACACUGGUUAAAGGACC